rnacentral:rRNA from 1 species
GAUGAACGCUAGCGAUAGGCUUAACACAUGCAAGUCGAGGGGUAACGUGUUGGAAGCUUGCUUCCGAUGACGACGACCGGCGGAUGGGUGCGUAACGCGUAUGCAACUUGCCUCACAGUGGAGAAUAACCCGGAGAAAUCCGGACUAAUACUCCAUACACUCUUAAGUACGCCUGUACAUGAGAGGAAAGAUUUAUCGCUGUGAGAUAGGCAUGCGUCCUAUUAGGUAGUUGGUGAGGUAACGGCUCACCAAGCCGACGAUAGGUAGGGGUGCUGAGAGGCAGAUCCCCCACAUUGGGACUGAGACACGGCCCAAACUCCUACGGGAGGCAGCAGUGAGGAAUAGUGGUCAAUGGAGGAAACUCUGAACCAGCCAAGUCGCGUGAAGGAAGAAUGGCCUAAGGAUUGUAAACUUCUUUAGCGAGCGAGUAAGGACUUCCACGUGAUGGGAGUUUGAAAGUAGCUCGAGAAUAAGUAUCGGCUAACUCCGUG